rnacentral:rRNA from 1 species
UAGGGAAUAUUGGGCAAUGGACGCAAGUCUGACCCAGCCAUGCCGCGUGCAGGAUGAAGGCGUUAUGCGUUGUAAACUGCUUUUAUACAGGAAGAAACGACUCUUGCGAGAGGCAUUGACGGUACUGUAUGAAUAAGCACCGGCUAACUCCGUGCCAGCAGCCGCGGUAAUACGGAGGGUGCAAGCGUUGUCCGGAUUUAUUGGGUUUAAAGGGUGCGUAGGCGGGUAGGUAAGUCAGUGGUGAAAUCCUGGAGCUCAACUCCAGAACUGCCAUUGAUACUAUCUAUCUUGAAUAUUGUGGAGGUAAGCGGAAUAUGUCAUGUAGCGGUGAAAUGCUUAGAUAUGACAUAGAACACCCAUUGCGAAGGCAGCUUACUACGCAUAUAUUGACGCUGAGGCACGAAAGCGUGGGGAUCAAACAGGAUUAGAUACCCUGGUAGUCCACGCCCUAAACGAUGGAUACUCGACAUACGCGAUACACUGUGUGUGUCUGAGCGAAAGCAUUAAGUAUCCCACCUGGGAAGUACGUUCGCAAGAAUG